AAGAACUGCAAACUAGAAUCUCGUGAGAGGGGGUAGAAUUUCAGGUGUAGCGGUGGAAUGCGGUGAGAUCGAAGGAAUGCCGGGGCGAAGGCGGCACCUGGACAAGACUGACGCUCAGGUACGAAAGCGUGGGGAGCAAACAGGAGGAGAUACUUUGUAGUCCACGAAGUAAACGAUGUCUACUCGGAGUUUGGUGUCUUGAACACUGGGCUCUCAAGCUAACGCAUUAAGUAGACCGCCUGGGGAGUACGGCCGCAAGGUUAAAACUCAAAUGAAUUGACGGGGGCCCGCACAAGCGGUGGAGCAUGUGGUUUAAUUCGAUGCAACGCGAAGAACCUUACCUACUCUUGACAUCCUCAGAACUUUCCAGAGAUGGAUUGGUGCCUUCGGGAACUGAGAGACAGGUGCUGCAUGGCUGUCGUCAGCUCGUGUUGUGUUAUGUUGGGUUAAGUCGCAGCUACACAUGCAGUCGAGCGGUACCUGCCCGGUCGAUAAACCGGGGGAUAACAGUUGGGGACGACUGCUCAAGUACCUCAUAGGCCCUUACGGGGGAAAGUAGGGCUACACUUCGUGCCUUCCGCGAUUGGAUCGAGUACAUAGGGUUGGGAUUAGCCUCGUUGGUGGAGGUAAUGGCUCACCAAGGCGACGAUCCGUAGUCUGGAUCUGAGAGUCUGCAACUCGAGCUCACACUGGAAGUCGAGACAUCGGUCCAGUACUCGUACGGGAGUCAGCAUGCUACGGUGAAUACGUUGCACCAUGGGCCUUGUACACACCGCCUGAUGCACGCCAUGCGGCGUGUGCUGCACCAGAAGGCCUUCGGGUUGCUUAAGCACUUUCGGCGAGGAGCGUUACCACGGUGUGUUGCGCUAAUAUCCAGUAACUGUGACGUUACUCCCCAAAAAAAACACCGGCUUACUUCUUUGCCCCAGCCCCCGGGAAUACCAAGGGGGGGGAGCGUUUAUCCGAAAUUACUUGGGCGUAAAACGGACCCCGGCCGGGUUGUGUAAACCAGAAGUGAAAAACCCCCGGCUCCCCCUGGGGAACUGGCAUCUUCCAACUGGGGAAAUAAAAGCGUUGUUGAAGGGGGGGACAAAUUUUUUGUGGCACCCGUGCACUAAAGAAAAACCCUUUUUGGAGGCUGGACCUGGCGGGGGGAGGUCCCCCCGUGUGGCCCCCCCGCUUUCUCUACAAGAAAGGGGUGUUUUUACAAGGGGGAGACCUUCCCCCGCGGGCUCUCCUCAGAUACACAGACAAAUUGAGGGGUGGGGGGGGGAGUUGCUCCCCCCCCCUCCCAGAACACUAUUUAGCCCGCCGCGAGGGAAAGUCGCGGGGGAGAGCCCUUGAAGCUAGACUGAUACAACUGCCA
rnacentral:rRNA from 1 species